rnacentral:rRNA from 1 species
UAAGACGAAGGGGGCUAGCGUUGUUCGGAAUUACUGGGCGUAAAGCGCGUGUAGGCGGUUGCCAAAGUCGGGUGUGAAAGCCUUGAGCUCAACUCAAGAAUUGCACUCGAUACUUGGUGACUAGAGGACCGGAGAGGAUAGUGGAAUUCCCAGUGUAGUGGUGAAAUACGUAGAGAUUGGGAAGAACACCAGUGGCGAAGGCGGCUAUCUGGACGGUUUCUGACGCUAAGACGCGAAAGCGUGGGGAGCAAACAGGAUUAGAUACCCUGGUAGUCCACGCCGUAAACGAUGGGUGCUAGACGUUGGCGAGCUUGCUCGUCAGUGUCGCAGCUAACGCGUUAAGCACCCCGCCUGGGGAGUACGGCCGCAAGGUU